rnacentral:rRNA from 1 species
UACAGAGGGUGCAAGCGUUGUUCGGAAUUAUUGGGCGUAAAGGGUGCGUAGGCGGUUUGGUAAGUCUUAUGUGAAAUCUACAGGCUCAACUUGUAGUCUGCAUGAGAAACUGCCGGGCUUGAGUAUGGGAGAGGUGAGUGGAAUUCCUGGUGUAGCGGUGAAAUGCGUAGAUAUCAGGAGGAACACCAAUGGCGAAGGCAGCUCGCUGGGACGGUACUGACGCUGAGACGCGAAAGCGUGGGGAGCAAACAGG